GGAAGGAUCAUUAACAAAUCGUAGUUGUAGUUGGGCAACCACUACACAUACACCCACUCCUAGUUCUGCUAGGUGUUGGUUCCUAAACUUUCCCUCUAUCAUUUCUCUGUUUCUCUUUCUUUCUUCCUCUGUGCUCUCUUUUUGGGUACAGAGAAAAGGGGAGAGAGACAGAGAAAUAGAGUGGGGAUGGUUUUGGGAGACUGCCGUAAAACGCAGUCACAUAGACGCUUGUAUUGGUUUGACAGAGUUUUUGUAAAGCAAAAAUAUUGACAACUUUUAACAAUGGAUCUCUUGGCUCUUGCAACGAUGAAGAACGCAGUGAAAUGCCGAAAAGUAAUGCGAUUUGCAUGAAUCUGUGAGUCAUCAAGUUUUUGAACGCACCUUGCACCAUAUGAGUAAUUGUAUGGUAUACCUGUUUGAGAAUCGUAAAAACCCCCAUCCUUCUUACAUCAUCACCCUUUCACAAGGGGGGGCUGCAAAAUAGGGACUUGUCGGAUGUCGAAUGGACUCCGAUUAAAUGCAGUAGGUUUGGAAUCAGGCUGGUGGCCUGGGACAUUGUGUGCUAGAGACUAACCGUCUUCUCACAGUGCGUCCCGGGUCAAUUAAAGGCUGGCCUGUGGUAGAGCCUUCAACAGCGCAUCGGAGCAAUCCGGUGGCUACACUUUCUCUUUGAUCUCAAAUCAGGUAAGGCUACCCGCUGAACUUAAGCAUAUCAGUAAGCGGAGGAAAAGAAACUAACAAGGAUUCCCCUAGUAACGGCGGAGCGAAGCGGGAAGAGUUCAAAUUUUAAAAUCUGGGAGGCUUUGCCUCUCCGAAUUGUAAUUUAAAGAGACGUUAUCUGGGCUUAGUCUGAUGCUCAAGUCCCUUGGAAUAGGGCGUCACAGAGGGUGAGAACCCCGUCUGGGCAUCGGUGCUAGUCCUCCAUGAGGCGUCCUCUACGAGUCGAGUUGUUUGGGAAUGCAGCUCAAAAUGGGUGGUAAAUUUCAUCUAGACUAAAUACUGGCAAGAGACCGAUAGCGAACAAGUACCGUGAGGGAAAGAUGAAAAGCACCUUGAAAAGGGAGUUAAAUAGUGCGUGAAAUUGUUAAAAGGGAAACGAUUGAGAUCAGUAUUACUGUUGGCUGUUCAGCGCUGCUUCUGUAGCGUGCAUUCAGUCAAUGGUGAGUCAGCAUCAGUUUGGGCUUCCGGAGAGAGGUCAGAGGAAGAUGGGGUCGUCCUUCGGGGCCACUCUUUAUAGACUCUGGCUAACACGCGGAGCCUGGACUGAGGCAUGCGGCCGUAGUACUCACAAGCCGAGCCUGAUCCCCACUGGUCAAAGACUGCACGCAGACUUUGACCGCAAGGAGCAGAGGUAAGCCUGUGCAUACGGUUCCAGGAUGCUGACGAAAUGGUCUUAAACGACCCGUCUUGAAACACGGACCAAGGAGUCUAACAUAUGUGCGAGUAUAUUGGGUGGCAAACCCGAGUGCGUAAUGAAAGUGAUCUGGGUGAGAGCCUUGCCUCAUGGCUUGGUGCAUCAUCGGCCGAACCUUGAAGUCUUCGGAUAGGUUUGAGUAAGAGCAUAUCUGUUGGGACCCGAAAGGUAGUGAACUAUGCCUGGAUAGGAUGAAGCCAGAGGGAAACUCUGGUGGAGGUCCGUAGCCGUUCUGACGUGCAAAUCGAUGGUCAAAUCUGGGUAUAGGGGCGAAAGACUAAUCGAACUACCUAGUAGCUGGUUCCCUC
rnacentral:misc_RNA from 1 species